GUGAAUCAUCAAAUUUUUGAACGCAAAUUGCACUCUCUGGUAUUCCGGUGAGUAUUUCUGUUUGAGGGUCUGUUUAAAUAAAAAUCGGUGUGGUUGCUGCCUUUCGUGGUGACGCACCGGAUUUGGGUCGUUUUGCCUUCUGUUAAGUGACCUAAAAUUUUUCAUGAUUUUUUUCGAACUUAUUUAAAUGAUUUUACGUACGUUUGCGAUAUAUAAUAUUAUGUUUGAUCAUCCU
rnacentral:misc_RNA from 1 species